GAUGGCGCUGUGAGCGCACUAGAUUCAAAGUUAGAUGUUAAAAUAAAUCAACGGUUUUAUGCAAUGCAAUUACUUGACAAGAAUGGUAAGUUCGGUAUCGAUAUGGUGCUCCUGGGGGAGCUCGGGACCACCAGGUCGUCUAAGGAGGGGUGAACCGGCCCAGGUCGGAGACGGAGCAGGUCAAAGCCCCCGUGCCGAUCAGUAGUGGGGUCGCGCCUGUGAAUAGACACUGCAGUGCAGCCUGAGCGAUACAGCGAGACUCAGACUUU
rnacentral:sRNA from 1 species